rnacentral:rRNA from 1 species
GAUGAACGCUGGCGGCGUGCCUAAUACAUGCAAGUCGAGCGAACAGACGAGGAGCUUGCUCCUCUGACGUUAGCGGCGGACGGGUGAGUAACACGUGGAUAACCUACCUAUAAGACUGGGAUAACUUCGGGAAACCGGAGCUAAUACCGGAUAAUAUAUUGAACCGCAUGGUUCAAUAGUGAAAGACGGUUUUGCUGUCACUUAUAGAUGGAUCCGCGCCGCAUUAGCUAGUUGGUAAGGUAACGGCUUACCAAGGCAACGAUGCGUAGCCGACCUGAGAGGGUGAUCGGCCACACUGUAACUGAGACACGGUCCAGACUCCUACGGGAGGCAGCAGUAGGUAGUCUUCCGCAAUGGGCGAAAGCCUGACGGAGCAACGCCGCGUGAGUGAUGAAGGUCUUCGGAUCUUAAAACUCUGUUAUUAGGGAAGAACAAAUGUGUAAGUAACUAUGCACGUCUUGACGGUACCUAAUCAGAAAGCCACGGCUAACUACGUG